UUCUGGCGUUUUCCUUUGUUUCUCCAACUAAUAGAUGUAGGGGUUUUCCUUUGUUUUUGGUUCACCAAAUGGUUUUCAUCUAUUCUAAUUUUCUAAUUUUUUAUAUGAGAUGUGCAGUUGUUGCGGCUCUUAAUCCUUCAAUGUUCUUCAUCUUACUUGCUAAAGUCGAAAGUUCACAUUACUUCGGUUGUUUUUGGGUCUUCCUGCUAACUACUUAGAACAUGCAUUUUAAGUUCAAUUUUUGUUGGCUUGGCGUUUCCCUUUUUUAAGAAUCUAUUUCAACGAAGGCAUUCAAGUUAUAUUGCUUAGUUAUUUGGAGUUCACAGCAAGACAUUCCAUUUGUGUUCAUUAAAUGUCAAACUGCAUAAAAUAAGUAAGAUUCAUGGUUUUAAAAAAAUGGGACAAGGUUUUGCAAUCAUUAAGGAUCUUACUGUUAUUGGAAUAGCUUCAAGUGAUCAAGGCUCCAAAAAGGAGUAACAUACAUUUGGAAAGAAUGGAACCUUCGAUGAGGUGAAGAAGAUUGUGAAAAUACUCAAUGAGGGACAGGUGCCAUCACAAGAUGUUGUGGAGGUUGUGGUGAGCCCACCAUAUGUGUUU